rnacentral:tRNA from 1 species
GGCCGGUUAGCUCAGCUGAGCGUAGCGCUAACAACGCUAAGGUCACGGGUUCGAUUCCCGUUCAGUUCC